ensembl:miRNA
AUGGGGUGGGGGAUGGGUUCCUUGGCCCCAGGCACCAGUCCAGCAGCUCCUGCUCCCUACAG